GACGAACGCUGGCGGCGUGCUUAACACAUGCAAGUCGAACGGAAAGGCCCUGCUUGCAGGGUACUCGAGUGGCGAACGGGUGAGUAACACGUGGGUGAUCUGCCCUGCACUUCGGGAUAAGCUUGGGAAACUGGGUCUAAUACCGGAUAGGAACCAUCUUUAGUGUGGUGGUUGGAAAGUUUUUUCGGUGUAGGAUGAGCUCGCGGCCUAUCAGCUUGUUGGUGGGGUAAUGGCCUACCAAGGCGGCGACGGGUAGCCGGCCUGAGAGGGUGUACGGCCACAUUGGGACUGAGAUACGGCCCAGACUCCUACGGGAGGCAGCAGUGGGGAAUAUUGCACAAUGGGCGCAAGCCUGAUGCAGCGACGCCGCGUGGGGGAUGAAGGCCUUCGGGUUGUAAACUCCUGUCGCUAGGGACGAAGCUUUGUUGUGACGGUACCUAGAUAAGAAGCACCGGCUAACUACGUG
rnacentral:rRNA from 1 species